UGUGCAAUGCAAUGAGUUUUG
rnacentral:piRNA from 1 species